rnacentral:lncRNA from 1 species
GGGAGGCAACUCAAAUGUAAGGGCAGAUAAUUCAGAUAGUGUUACUUUUACAAUAGAAUGUGUUAGGAAUUUACCCAUUUUGACAUGUAGCAAGAAAACGAGUCCGGUGACGCCAUUUUUUCUUUUUCUUAUCUGAAAGCAUAAUAUUGGAGCUAUCUUCUCAUAUUUUAUCUCAAAAUUCUAUGGUGUGGUUUGCGUUUUAUGGCGGAAAAAUGGGUUUUCCAUGCAUAAUCUAUACAAAAUCUUGACAAUUUUGCACAACCUGUAGUGUGAAAAUAAGUCCGGUGACCCAUUCUUUUUAUUAAUGUUUUUAAACAAGCAGGAUAUGAACUACAUUUUGGCAAAUUAUUAAAAGAUUUUAUGGAUUAUAAUUUAGACACCCCAUCUACCUUAAAGUA